GACGAACGCUGGCGGCGUGCUUAACACAUGCAAGUCGAACGGAAAGGCCUGCUUUCCCUUGUGGAUUGCGGGUACUCGAGUGGCGAACGGGUGAGUAACACGUGAGUGAUCUGCCCCCAACUUGGGUAUAAGCCUGGGAAACUGGGUCUAAUUCCCGAUAGGACUGCAGGGUGGUGCCUGUGGUGGAAAACGAUUUUCUAGUGGUUGGGGAUGAGCUCGCGGCCUAUCAGCUUGUGGGUGGGGUAAUGGCCUACCAAGGCGGCGACGGGUAGCCGGCCUGGGAGGGUGGACGGCCACAUUGGGACUGAGAUACGGCCCAGACUCCUACGGGAGGCAGCAGUGGGGAAUAUUGCACAAUGGGCGGAAGCCUGAUGCAGCGACGCCGCGUGGGGGAUGACGGCCUUCGGGUUGUAAACUCCUUUCGACCGCGAGGAAGCCACCUGGUUGGAAGGGUGGUGACGGUAGUGGUAGAAGAAGCACCGGCUAACUACGUG
rnacentral:rRNA from 1 species